rnacentral:rRNA from 1 species
AUGGCCACCCACGCUCUCGUCGCCGUCGCCGUGCUCCUCGUCGUCUGUGCUCCUCCGGGAGCGCUCGCGCAGACGGUGCAGGUAUGGUCCUUGUGCUCGCCGGCGAACUACACCGCGGGGAGCCCCUACGGGGCCAGGGUCCGCGGCGUGCUCAGGGACGUGGUGGCCGCCGCCGGCCGCUCCCGCUAUGGCUACGCCACCGUGGUCCGCAGCCCGCGGGAGGAGGAGGAACCACCGGACGGGCUGGCCUUGUGCUACGCGAACGCGGGCCCGCCGGUGGUGUGCAGGCUGUGCCUGCGCAUGGCAGCCGGGAACUUGACGCUGGCCUGCCCGCACGCCGCGUCCGCGGCCAUAUUGUACAACAACUGCCUGCUCCAGUACACGGACUCGGCGGGAGGCGAGAGGCAGCUCGCGCGGUGGGAGGCGGACACGGUGCAGAGGUUCUCCUUCUACAACAACAACAUGAACAGCGCCGGCGAGACCGACAGGUACGGCCCCGCGCUCAAUCGGCUCAUGCAGCGCCUCGCUCCCGCCGAGGCCGGAGCGAACGGCCAGCCGCGUCCCCAAGCCACAUUCGGGCAGACCAACAUCACGGCCAACGAGAGCCUGUACGGGUUCGCGCAGUGCGUGGCAGUCCUGUCCCCCGACGACUGCCGCCUCUGCCUUCAGAGAAUCGCCGCAUCGUUGCCCGUGACGAAAGGAGGACGGGCCUACUCGCUGACAUGCUACACGAGGUUCGAGGUGGUGCCCUUCUACAUGCCGCCCAACACAACCAGGAUCAUUGUGGCGCCGACGCCGGCGCCGUCGUCCUCCUCGACGUCGUCGUCGCAACCUGCAGCGGAUUCCUCCUCCUCGUCCUCAAGAGGUGACUUGGAGGAUAUCUGGAGGAAGGAAGAAAUCAAGGCCAGACAGAGGUCCAGAGACAGGUACAUACUUGAAGGGGACCUGAAUGCUGGAUACUUCAAAGCCAUAGCAAAUCAAAAGAGAAGGAGGAAGCAAAUUCUGAUGCUGGAAGGAGAUUCAGGUGUUGUGGAGGAAGAUAGCUGCUACCUUGGACAGCUGGCAGUCUGUUGCUCAGACCCUGUCAAAGGAAUAGUGCUGCAAAUGGUGCGGAAACUGGAGUAG